rnacentral:rRNA from 1 species
UGCCGGUGUUUAAACCGGAGGAAGGUGGGGAUGACGUCAAGUCCUCAUGGCCUUUAUGUCUAGGGCUACACACGUGCUACAAUGGGUGGUACAAAGAGCAGCUAACUCGCGAGAGUAUGCAAAUCUCAAAAGCCAUCCUCAGUUCGGAUUGGAGUCUGCAACUCGACUCCAUGAAGUUGGAAUCGCUAGUAAUCGCGGAUCAGCAUGCCGCGGUGAAUACGUUCCCGGGCCUU